rnacentral:tRNA from 1 species
GCCUGGGUAGCUCAGUCGAUUGAGCGUCUGACUUCAGCUCAGGUCAUGAUCUCACAGUUUGUGGGUUUGAGCCCCGCAUCAGGCU